rnacentral:sRNA from 1 species
GCCAGGCAUGGUGACGCAUGCCUGUAAUCCUAGCAGCUGGGGAGGCUGAGAUAGAAAGAUCUCAAGUUCAAGGCUAACCUCAGCAACAGUGAGGUGCUAAACAACUCAGUGAGACCCUGUCUCUA